ACUUCUCCCAGUCACAUGAUCCCGCUAAUCCCAAACACGGAAGUUGUGGGUUCCCUGAGGCAGACUAACGUACUUCGACGCAUUUAAGAUAUCGAACAUGUUUCUUAAUUACCAAAACUUGUUUUUAACCGCGUGGUCGUUAUAUAUUUGCUCCGUUGCGCCGAGCGAAGGAGCUAACGCCACACUUAACAUUUCAGCUGCGGCGGAGUCGCCCGUUUUUCUGCCGGCGACGGAGGACGACUCUGCCGCCCCCUUCAUCUUGAUGUCCGCCUUCCCGGACGACUUGGAGGUGAGCGACUACUGCAGCGAGCUGCUGAGCCUGUUUGGCCAGCGCUAUGAGACCUAUGUCAACUGCCUGGUUACGUCUGCCCGGCCGGUUAAAGUUUGCCAGAACUGCUUCGGCGCUUACGGCAUGCUGGUGAACACCUACAUGAACAUCUCCUCGGAAAAGUUGGGUCCUGGCAAUGAGAGCUGCAGGGACAGCCUUCUGCGAAGUGACCGUCUCAUGCUGGUCUAUCUGCUGUUUAACAACCUAAAGGACAUGUGGACCAAAUCUGCCUGUGACAACUGUAUCAAUGAUGGAUUCCAGAGCCUCACCAAUGACACUCUGUACUUCAUGUCCACUCUCAACCAAACUCUCACCUGCUUUGAUAUGUAUCAACAGAGGAACCACACAGAGCUGUGUAAAAACUGUAAGAGUGCAUAUAAGGUCCUCAAUGAGCUUUACAGCCGCAUGGAGAAGAACGACACCAUGUGUAUUGACAUUGAGGAUGGGAUGAACGUGACCCGCAGGCUGUGGAGUAAAAACUUCAAAUGUUCCCUCCCCCGCGAGGAGACGGUGCCUGUCAUCGCCGUGUCCGCCUUCAUGCUCUUUCUGCCCAUCAUCUUCUACUUGAGCAGCUUCCUUCACUCGGAACAAAAGAAACGCAAGCUCAUACACCCCAAGAGAGCAAAGUCGUACGCCGCCAGUCUGAUGAACAUUCAGGACAAGCAGAGCUGAUGGCGGACGCCACUGAGGUGUUCCAAGUUUUGCACGUUUGGGAGGUUUGUGUACAAGCGUGACUGGUAUCUGGAACUGUUCAUAAUUUCCUUCAACCUGACUAAGGCGCCAGUUUCAGCUAAAGAAAAACGGUCGGUAGGUUUUGUGUACUUUUGGUGAUGAGUAGUCUUAUUCUAACAUUCUCCCAAACACGCCAGAAAAUGUGUCAUGUUUGAUUUAGAAACAAUACUGCUCAUCACCAGAAGAGCACCAUACCUCAAGUGAAGCAUAGUGGUGGCAGCAUCAUGAUUUGGCACUGAAUGUUUUUUUUCCUCACCUGGUGUUAGGGCCUUAGAUAAGGUGGAAAAAAAUUAUGAAUAGUUCUGUAUCUCAGGUAAGAUUAUGAGAACAGUUCAAAUGUAUUUGGGCUUAAUCAGAUGCACUUUAAAUGGUGGCAGGUGUAUUCAUAUUUAACUGGAGUUUCAAUGUUUUCAUUCUCAACAGCCAUAGCCCAAUCUUGAGGGUGCACAUACUUUUGCAACCACAUUAUUUCAGUUAUUUUUACAGGGUGUGUAGACUUAACUAUCCACUGUAUCUCAUUGCUUUGUCAUGCCAAUAUCAAGAAAGUGUUAAUUGGCAUUUAGGUUGUUGCGUAAGACCUGGAAGGCUACCACCAGCCAGCAGCGUCCCCCCCUAAAACGUCAGUUAACUGGCUGUAGGUGACCUUUAGGCCGCACACCUCUCAACGCCUCAGCCAUGAAUAUGAUUCUUUGUCGACUAAGAAGUAAACAAAUGCCCCCGCGGCUUGGAUUUAGCAUACACACGCGUGCGCGCAUUCAUCAUACACCUGCGAGCGGGGGUCAAAGUCUGUCAAUCCCAAGAUUAUGGCAUUAGGCUAGAUUAUAGAAUCACUCUCUUAUGGCAGUCAUUGAGUUUGUAAUCUCAGCUCCAUACAAAAAAAAGUGUUCACGCUAGUAAGAAAAAGAGACGUCCUGCUCCCUCGUGGUCCCUCGCUUGCACAAAGGUAUUAUGUCAAGUCAGCUGUUGGUGACAUCGCAGAUGUUGGAUCAUAUGUCAGAAACCUUUGCUACCCGGGGGACCACUUGAGGAUAAAGCAGGGGCUGAAGGGCACGAGCGUCUGACCCCCUUGUGUGCCAUCAUCUUGUCAAGACAGUGAGCAUUUGGGCAAGUGGGCUGCUGUUUUUGAUCAGGUACACUGUUAUGUGGUUUAUUUUGAGACAAUACCGCUAUCUACAGACAAGUGUUGGUAUUGCAGAUUUUGCUCAAAAGGAAAGGCUUGAAUGCAACGCUCGGUUGCCGUAGCAACAGGUCGCAAAACGCAACCCCGCGAUAUUCUGCAGGAAUCUGCACGCUUCCUAAUUCGUCAUACCGUGAAUAUUUUUUAAUUAUCAAAACAUAAUUAUGGAAAAAGUAAAGGCUGCUGGGAAGACGUGUGAAAACUUGGAUGUUUCUGAAAUUAAAGACUCGGAAAACA